GAAGAGGUGGCCGAGUGGCUGAAGGCGCUCGCCUGCUAAGCGAGUAUACGUUUUGACAUGUAUCGAGGGUUCGAAUCCCUCCCUCUUCG
rnacentral:tRNA from 1 species